UUAGAGCAGCUCAGGGAUGUGGCUGGCCAGGCGAGGGGCGAAGGGUGUGGUGGGACAGGACCAGACAGGAGGACGGAGAGUGGAAAAUGGAGAUAGCAGAGAUCGGAGUGGCACGUUGGGAGUCUCGAUGGAAAGAAGGAAAACAGAAAUAGGAGCUUUCCAGGCUAUAAAUAAUGCCAUGUCACCUGCUGACAUACUUGGAGAUGAAAUCCUAUGGGUGUUUUUCGGGACUUCUGAUUUCAGUUGCGGGACAGUGAUGACAGUUGGCAGCUGAGAUCACGGACAGAAAUAGAUUGUCAUCAUGAGGCGAGUGAGCGAACGUCCCCCCGCCCCCCUCUCGGAAAUGACAGCAGCGUGUGAGGGACCACCUGGAACACAAGCACCAGCUUUCCGUCUCGACUCUACUCAAUCCUCCGUGGGUAAAGUUCACCUCAGUUCAUCACAGUUCCUGAAAGUUUACAGACAAAGUUUCUGAAUGAGAAACUCAGGAUUUUGUCAAAACACCAAGGAGAAUGAGACGAGUUGCCUUUUGUACCUACAUGAAGGACCAGCAGACCCACAAGACAACUGUUCCACUGCUGCACAGGGUGGGUGAUGAUCCAGGGUCAGUGCCAACAUGUGCAGCAUAAAACAUCACUGUACACUUCGUAAGCAAUGGGGCAGGAUUUGAGCAUGAAUGUCAUCUACCCUUUUUAAAUAUAUGAUAUCCUCCUUUUGGUUUCCGAGUUUUCCUCGAAGGUGUUUUACAAAAAUACAAUGAAAAUCCUAAAUAAAAAAUAAAGAAGGAGAAAGUAGAAAAAAGCAGCAGGACUCCAGUCUGGUUUUCUACUUAUUAUCACAUCUGCCUGGAAACAACUCCUGUUAA